CCUGGGCCCCGUAUUAUAAAACUUUUGACUUACCAUAAUAGUAACUCCCCGAGUUACUAUUAUGGUAGUUACCAUCAAUGGUAACUACCAUCGGAGCUUAAUAUCCGUUGCAUAAAACCGAUAUUAACUAAUAUAAGAAAAACCCGCGAAUGGUCUUCUUGGACGAGCCAGAAAUUUAAGCGCAUGCGCAAUACCCGUCGUCUGCUAGAUAUAGCCACUGAGAUAAACACCGAAGACGGCUGCUGCUAAUCUACAAUUAUCGUCAAUCGAAAUGGUGAAACGCAGGCCGAACUUGACAGGUCGGGAUGUCCGCUGCCUGGCAGACUACGUAAAAAAGAACCGCCAAGCUUUGUUCGGCAAAGCGGGGAACUGUGUGGAAAAGAUCAAAAAACGAAAAGAGGAUGCAUGGGCCCUAGGGCUCGUAUCCCUAGAGGCCCAGGGACUCCAACCAGGUAGAACAGUAAAGGACUUGCGUCUUACCUGGAACGAAAUGGCGGCAAAGGCUUGAAAGUACAGGGACUCAAAGAACAAGACAGGUAAAUUAAGCUGUCUUUAUUGUGUAACAGAUAAAACUGUAAAAGGUACCUUUCUUGUAUACUCCUACCACAUGUAAUUUAUCACCAAUAGUUACCUGUGCUUUGGAAAAGUUAAAAAGUAAGAAAGCAUUUGUGCAAUAAAAAAACAAGUUUUUAAAA